rnacentral:rRNA from 1 species
UACGAAGGGGGCUAGCGUUGCUCGGAAUCACUGGGCGUAAAGCGCACGUAGGCGGAUUGUUAAGUCAGGGGUGAAAUCCUGGAGCUCAACUCCAGAACUGCCUUUGAUACUGGCGAUCUUGAGUCCGGGAGAGGUGAGUGGAACUGCGAGUGUAGAGGUGAAAUUCGUAGAUAUUCGCAAGAACACCAAUGGCGAAGGCAGCUCGCUGGGACGGUACUGACGCUGAGGCGCGAAAGCGUGGGGAGCAAACAGG